GGCCAGAAUUAGGUGGUAGCAAGCAGGGCACCUGUCUUGGGCUCCCAAACCACAGGGGUCCCCACAAAGCUACGUUGCUCAGGCUUUGGCUUCAGCUCCAGG